UUGCAGUGCCGGGAGGAGUCCUUGUUCUUUUCUGCAAACCUGCAGAGUUGAAACCAAGUGACUCCGCGGUGCCGAGGAAUUGGUAAUUCAGGAAUUUCCUUAGAGGAAUUAUUAUUUUCAAUAGCCAGCAAUCAACCUGGUUUCAAAGAAUAUAUUAAAGUCCUCUAUGAAAAACUUCAGUUGUGUGAGGAUUGCAGUCUCAGAUCCACGGAAGAAAAGGAAAUGUUUCCUUCAAAAUGGGAAAUCAGUUCUGUUUCAGUGGAGUUACUAUACUGCUGAAACAGAACUGCUCACAGUUUGUGGUCAUUGGGAGUGGGGCUGUGGCUGAGCCUCAUCCCCAGUGGGCUGCAGCUGUGAGCAGCAGGUCAUUAGAUCUGUGUCCACUGCCUUUAUAGCACUUCAUGUUAACUCAUAUGGCUGAAAGAGGUAUGAAUUCAAAGGUGAUAUGUUUUCAUAGGCACUUACUGAUUUUUUUUAUAUUUUUGUUUUGAAAAGAGGAGCCAGUUAGACUAGUGGUGAGCAAAUCAAUAAUUGUUCUCUGUGAAUAUGAAAUAACUGUGUUCCUGAAGGACAUUUCCAAGUCUUUAUUGUGGUACAGUAUUAUUUCUAGAUCAUCGUGUACCAGAGAAUAGAAAUUAAAGAUAAAAACAUGAUAGAAAGCUUUUAAAUAUUUUCCCUUGUUAAAGUGAUAGGUCCUGUUGAAACACUGUAGAGAAAAGGUUAAAAGAAACCAGCCAGCUGCUAUGGAUGGAGUAGAGAAGGACUGUCCAGUGGUGGAGAUAAAUGAACACUUGGGAAGAAUGGGCUUGGGUGCUUCAUGUCACAGGCACCUUUGGGUAGCUUGGCAUACUUUAGUUUGCUGUAAGUAACAUUAGAACCUAGGAAUAUUGCAUGACUUAACACUGAACUGGUAUGGUUUGCAUGUGUGAUGGUAACCUAAUAAAUAUCUCAUAAUAGAAAAAACAGGUUUAAUAAUUUAGGUGCUGAUUUCUAUCAUUGUCAUGGUCUCUGGAAGGUGCAUAGCUGUGAUUGUCAGUUAUUGUUCUUUUAUGGUCUCUAUAAAAUAUACUUAUUCAUUCAAGACUAUGUCUAAAACAUCACAAUUAUUGUGUGUUUCAUUUCUUUUAACAGUCCAAAUAAAGUCACUGAUCUCCUGGAGAUGAGUAACAAUACAAAAUCAACCCACUACACUGAUUAAACCCAGCUCUUUUUCCUCCAGUUCUAGGACAGUAAAUGGGUGUUUGAGCUUAUUCAAGGGUCAGUGGUUUUGAGG